CGUCUAUAUAACAAUCUAUGCCCCUCAUAUUCUCUAAUAUCCAUAGCCGAUUAGGGUUUCUUCCCAAUUCAUUUUCUUUUACUUUACUUCGAAAUGUUGAUAAUGAUUAUGUUUUUUAUUUGAUUAGAUGUUUAGGUUAGCUUCUAAUUCUUCAUUUCUUUACGCAUGUUGCAUCCCCGGGCUUCUCUGAUAGAUCGAUGACGCGAAAGCCCCAAUGCUCGUGCAAUAUUGCACGCCGUUCGUGUUGCAAUUCAGUCUUUUUUUCAUGGCUGUGAUCUGUGUCAAAGUAACUGCAAAAUUCCAUAUUUAUUUACCUCUUUCUCUUGAUUAAAUCUAACAAAAUUUGCCUCGUUAAACCUUCAGCUUGUUUUCGAACACAACGUGUUCAAUGAAUUUGGAGCUAGUCCUAGAGGCAUAAAUCAAAUAACGUGUUGUUUUCGAUUUUGGGCUCUUAUCUUUCAGUGUCUGUCCUUUCGGAAAUACUCGUAACAUAGAUAUGUAGAUAUUAUAAUUUGAUUUUUUUUUGUUUUACUUGGCAAUGAUUACAACGUAUCCGCGCUUCUGAGAUGCGUCAAUGAAGCACAAAGGAUAAAAUGGUUGAAUUUCUUGAUAUGAGCUGAGACUUGAUUUUUCUGCAAGAAAAUGAACUUUUUGUUCAAAAUUAUAUAUUUUCCCUCGUUUUGUUUUUAUGAUCUCUAAAUGUUGUAAUUAGUAUAAUAGUUGGCUAUGAUGAUCUUCAUUCAGCUUAUGCCAGUUCUGCUUCUGAGAAUUCUUGAUUGAUAAGGCUGUUAUAUUUUCUGAGCCGCU